rnacentral:rRNA from 1 species
UACGGAGGGGGUUAGCGUUGUUCGGAAUUACUGGGCGUAAAGCGCGCGUAGGCGGAUUAGAAAGUUGGGGGUGAAAUCCCGGGGCUCAACCCCGGAACUGCCUCCAAAACUACUAGUCUAGGGUUCGAGAGAGGUGAGUGGAAUUCCGAGUGUAGAGGUGAAAUUCGUAGAUAUUCGGAGGAACACCAGUGGCGAAGGCGGCUCACUGGCUCGAUACUGACGCUGAGGUGCGAAAGUGUGGGGAGCAAACAGG